GUACGAGCGUUUAGUAAUCGGGAAGGAUGCGCGGGUUCUACACGAUCGUCACGCUGGUGACGGUUCUCUUCGUGAACCUCAGCUGGGGUUGGUCUUUCUCGAAUGUGGCGGUGUCUAUCGAUAAGUUGAUGCGACCGCAGGCUGAGGAGUCGCGAACUUUGAAUUUUAACAAGAACAACAGCACCUCGUCGAACAACAUCCCGGAAGUCACGGUGCAGAGUAGAAUAAUAGUAGUUCCACGAAGGACCAACGGUCGCUGUCAACCGGGCGAACAGGUCGAUCGGCGUGGCAAGUGCAGGACGGCGUGGUGAGCGAGUUCGGCGGACAAAUAGUGGGAGCAAGAAUCUUCGUAGACACCAUAGCUACUCGCUAUCAAGAAGGAGGGAUCACUUCCGGAGGGAAAUAGAGAAGGAAUAGUACUCGCAAAUUUCCGAAUAAUUCGCACAAUGGCACAUCGAAAGCCUGUACCGGGAAUAAGGCUAACACUGCAAGAAGAAGAUUAAUUUCUGUCGCUUUCGGCACCAAAUGUAUAUUUUUCGUUGUUUUGACAAGAAAGUAGUCGCAAUAAUACGCAUAUAAAUUUAUUAUACUUUUUUAACGUUAAGUGACACUACAUCUACUAUAAAAAUGUUUUUUUUUGCUGACUAUAAUUCGCCGUGCGAUUAUAGUCACAAUUGCCAGAUACUUAUUUCGUAGUGGACCAAUUGAUGCUAAUUGCGCAAGAUCUGUAGUCGGAAUUGAAUCUUUAACUGUAGACAUUCGUGGAAACGAUCAUGAUAUAGAGAUCACAUCUGGGUCGCGUCGAGAAAAGAAACUGCAAUCUGUUUUAUUCGUAACUUCAACGUCAGUUCAUUUCGCAUAACUAUAAACAGAUUGACACUGAGGACGUAUAAUUUGUAGCGAAACGAAUUGCGGAAGUAUGAAAAUAUUUAAUAUAUCAAAGUACAACUUUUAAGUAGGUACAAUUAGUCUGCGCGUGAGACAAAUUAAAUCAAUUGAAAAUCCAAUAAUUAAAAAAUAUACUUACGUCAAUGAAUAAAUGAAUAAAACACAGAGAUCAACAUAAUUAGUCAUAGUCAUAUUAUUAGAUUUACUUGGAAACAUGUUGAUGGCGACAUAUUUUCCGACGAGUUUCGUAACGCAUUCAGUAUCUAACAGAAGAAUUGCUUUGCAAUGAUCCUUAGAAAAUACGUUUUCUUAUUAAAUUUCUUAUUAAAUGCUGGAAGUGCGCUUCAAUACUAAUCGAAAGGAAACUGAAGUGCUAUUAUGGUUCUUCCUUAGAUUUAUGGUAUUUCAGUUAUUUCCCAGAUUUAUUUUUAGAUGUGUAUUUUGUAGAGAAAACGGGAUUAUUCCAAUUGGAGAAUUCAUCCCGAACAAGUCCAUAAUAGCAGCCGUCGAUUUGCUUUCGAGUUUGCACAUACCAUAUAUAUGCUGACGGUAUAAGAAAUUGUAGUGACUGCGUGCUAAGGCGUGUACGUCACUCUAUGUAUACAAUAAGAUCGCAUGUGCAUACUUAAUGGUUUUAGAUCAAAUCAAAAUACAUUGAAUGUAUAAUUGACACAUAAUAUAUAUUCGUAUGUGUACAUGUAAAAUUGUUACUGAUAUCGAUAAAAUAGAUGAAAUGCCACAUUGUGAUACGUAUAGUGUUCAUUUUACCAUCCAAUUCAAUAUUAAUUCAUGAAGCAAAGUUUAUUCUUCACAUAUACACGGCGUGCAAACAUUCCUAAUGAUUUAUCGCGUUGCGGAAGUUUUUGACGUAAUGUAGAAGACGUAAGCGAUCAAAUCUGUACAUGAGCAACCGCCAAUUAAGGGUAAAAGUAGAAGGAUACAGGAAACCACAUAGAUGAAAGCCUAGCUCGUAUAUAAACACACGUAUCAUGACCGUCACAAGGGCCAGUCAUUAAUUAGCGCGUUAAUGUAACUAUCGCGUCGCUGCGAGAAGUGCUGAAGAGCGUACGACAAUUCAUUAGAUCCUAUUCGCUACUGGAAUUAAGUUGGAGAGAAUUCGAAAGAAAGUACGAAUAUCGUUUAUAACAAUGGCACCGGCGCGUCUGUUACUGCUGAUUUUCGUGUCAUUGAUGUUGGUAUUCGCGAACGAGGGAAUGCCGCUGACUUUCCCAAAGAGAACCCGGCCGCAAUCGAAAUGUCCACCAGGCUAUAGGUACACUCGUACCGGCUGCAGAGAAAUUUUGACGUAUUGAAAAAGUAAGAAUGGAGUACAAAGGCCACGAGAUGCAGUUUUUUCAAAGAUGCUGGAUUAACGAUAAGCAAUAUCAAAACAUUAUAAUAAGACGAUUUCUUUUUUUUAAUUAUAAUGUAUCAAUUACAAAUACAUAAUAUAAAGUAGAAUAAUUUUUGUCAAUCAUGUUUAUAUAUCUAUAAACGAUAAAAACGAAAUUUAAA